rnacentral:rRNA from 1 species
UACGAAGGGAGCUAGCGUUGUUCGGAAUCACUGGGCGUAAAGCGCACGUAGGCGGAUGUGUCAGUCAGGGGUGAAAUCCCGGAGCUCAACUUCGGAACUGCCUUUGAUACAGCACGUCUUGAGUCCGAUAGAGGUGGGUGGAAUUCCUAGUGUAGAGGUGAAAUUCGUAGAUAUUAGGAAGAACACCGGUGGCGAAGGCGGCCCACUGGAUCGGUACUGACGCUGAGGUGCGAAAGCGUGGGGAGUAAACAGG